CCUAGGUGGCACAUUCCUCUAGUCCCAGCUAUUUGGGAGGCUGAAGCAGGAGAAUGGCUUGAGCCCAGGAGUUAUGGGCUGUGGUGCGCUAUGCUGAUGGGGUUUCAGCACUAAGUUCAGCAUUAAUAUGGUGACCUCCCAGGAGCACAGGACCACCAGGUUGCCUAAGAAAGGAUGAAAUGGCCUAGAUCUGAAAUGGAGCAAGUCAAAAUGCUCUGUGCUGAUCAGCUGUGGAAUCAUGCCUGUGAACAGCCACUGCAUUCUAGCCUGGGCAACAUAGUGAGACCCUGUCUCU
rnacentral:SRP_RNA from 1 species